rnacentral:rRNA from 1 species
ACCGGAGUACUAUGAAUAUUUAAAACAUUUAAAACUUAAAGAACUUGGCGGUGUUUUAGACCACUUAGGGGAACCUGUCUCGUAAUCGACAAUCCGCGUUAAACCUGACCUUUUCUUGUUAUCAGUUUGUAUACCGUUGUCGUCAGGUAACUUUUUAGAAAUUAGAAGUUAGCGAUAAAAGCAAUUUAAUGACUUAGGACGUCAAAUCAAGGUGCAGCUAACGAAAAGGGGAGGAUGGGUUACAAUUAUUUGAUUUAUAAUAACGGACGAACAACAUGAAUAUGUUUCAAAUUAUAAGGUGGACUUGAAAGUAAAUUAGAUUAUAUAGAUAGUUUGAAUAAGGCUCUGAAACGUGU